AUUGAACGCUGGCGGCAGGCCUAACACAUGCAAGUCGAGCGAGCGGCGGACGGGCGAGUAAUGUAUGGGGACUGCCCGAUAGAGGGGGAUAACUACUGGAAACGGUGGCUAAUACCGCAUACUAUCGGAUAACCCUUAUGGGAUUAGCUAGUAGGUGGGGUAAAGGCUCACCUAGGCGACGAUCUCUAGCUGGUCUGAGAGGAUGAUCGGCCACACGGGAACUGAGAAACGCCCCAAAAACCUACGGGGUCAGGAGUGGGAACUAUGGCAAAAGGGGCACAAGCCUGAUGCAGCCAUGCCGCGUGUAGGAAGAAGGCCUUAGGGUUGUAAAGUACUUUCAGCGGGAGGGCGUUACCCGCAAAGGAAGCACCGGCUAACUCCGUGCCAGCGGCCGCGGUAAUA
rnacentral:rRNA from 1 species